GACACUGGGUGCGCACCCGGCGGGGUGGCGGUUGGGUGCGUGCGGGGAGCGGAUAGGGUCGGGUUUACGGUUCUCUGCACGAGCUGCGGGCUCGGGGCGUGGAUCCCGUUAGCGGUGAUGCGCAGGUGUGGUCCGUAACCAAUGCGCCCGCCUUCUGCCUGGUGGCGUUGAAGGCAGAGCUCGGGAUGGAGGACAGAAUGGAACAGCAGAGGGGGCUCCUGUUAUUACUUCUGGGCUUACAGCUGCUGCUGAUGGGGCAUUACUCUGCCCAAACCACCACCUCCAUGGCUUCACCUCCUCCCUGCGCUUCCUCACACAAGACAAGCCGGAGCGGGGAGAGGAGCUGCCCUUGGUGGUCCAGGUCUCCUCGCAAGGAAUCCCUCACCAGGAUGUGUACUCAAACAUCAGCCAGAUCCACCGUGUGGACAUCAGAAGGGAGGAUUUGCCCAGCUGCCCCAUUGUCUCACCCUACAUCAGUGGCCCCUUGAAGAUGAUGAUCCCAGAGAACUUGACAAUGGAGCAAGUGGUGGAAAAGAACCCACUGGUGGAGCUGGGAGGCCAAUACCAGCCACCCAACUGCUGGACACGGCACCACACAGCAAUAGUGGUACCUUACUAUGGGCAAGCCCAGCACCUGCAGCACCUGCUCUCCCACCUGCACCCCUUCCUGCAGCGCCAGCAACUACAUUAUGCCAUCUAUGUGGU